GCGCCCAUAGCUCAACUGGAUAGAGCAUUUGACUACGGAUCAAAAGGUUAGGGGUUCAAAUCCCUUUGGGCGCA
rnacentral:tRNA from 1 species